UACGUAGGGGGCAAGCGUUGUCCGGAUUUAUUGGGCGUAAAGAGCUCGUAGGCGGCUUGUCGCGUCGACUGUGAAAUCCCGCGGCUCAACUGCGGGUCUGCAGUCGAUACGGGCAGGCUAGAGUUCGGUAGGGGAGACUGGAAUUCCUGGUGUAGCGGUGAAAUACGCAGAUAUCAGGAGGAACACCGGUGGCGAAGGCGGGUCUCUGGGCCAUUACUGACGCUGAGGAGCGAAAGCGUGGGGAGCGAACAGG
rnacentral:rRNA from 1 species